rnacentral:lncRNA from 1 species
GGCUAAUUCAUAAUGCAUUUAGUAUCACUUGGCUGUUGAUUUAAAUUUUAAGAUUGAAUUUUCUCUGCUUUUGUGUCUUGUGCUUGUGUAACAAGCAUUGGAACUGAUGCAGCCGAAGAAAAAAGAGGAUUGGUGUGAAGAGGUGCUUGUUCUUAAACUCAUUUGCUUUCCCUUGUUUUGAUAGAGGGAAGAUGUGAUCUGUAGCCUACCACAACACUUCUUCGUAUGGCAGUGAUGAUGGGAAGCCUCCAGGUCCAGAGCAAGCUCUGACUGAGAGCUGCAGUGGACACACAGCGGUGCAGAGGAGGCAUGGUGCUUGUUACAAGGGGAAAAUACCAGAGGUUUUGGUCAGAUUUUCCUCCUGCAGAAGUUUCUGUGGUCACUUUCUGGAGGAUCGUCAAGGAGCCACCUUCAAAGAAGGAAUUUUGAGUCUCACUUAACAUCUUCAGAGGCAUCCUGAAGAAUUGGUCUUGUUCCAGGGAUGGUGUUGAAUCAUAUAUCGUCAAAAUGGUCUGGAGUUAGCCAGGGGCAAGAGAAUGAGGUCUAUACUUGAGGAUAAGAAAGGGAGGACUAAUUGUGCUCCUGGGAAAUCCUGGCUUGGAUGAUUAUAUUGUCAGAAUCAUUGAUCUUAGUUUUGCUGUCCCUCUCUUGAGAGGGAGAGAGGAGAUUCUUGUAUGUUAUAAGACAGAAAAGGAAUGAUACUAAAUAUCAUUUCCUUUAUAUAAAUAACUAU